AUAUUUUAAAUUAAUAUAUUCCAGCUAAUCCUCUUCCUCCAAGUAAUUUCUGUAUAUUGCGUCAAAUUGGUAAUCACGGUCUCUUAGUCAGUUGGACGACACCGAAAGAAGGUUGUCAAAUAGGAGGUUACCAAAUAUAUGUUGAAGGAAAACUUCAUCAGAAAGUGCGAAGUCCGGAAUGUACCAAAGUGAUUCUGUCUAAACUAAAUGUUUUCCAACCGCUGAACAUUGGUAUAUAUUCCAUAUCCACAUUAGGGCACACGUCGGAGCCUGUGUUCGCUUUUCAUCCCGGUUCUUCGCAACUUGCUAUAAAUAACAAUAAUGUACCAUUUAUGUGCAGGACGGAACAUAGUUGUGUAUUGAGGAUAUACGGAGAAGAUAAUGAGUGUCGGGAAUUUUCUGUACAGAAAGGAAGUAAUGUACUUGUAACCGGUGUUCCUGAUGAUGAUGGAUUUUGUACAGUAAAGGUAUAGAAGUGUCAAAAUAUAGUAAUU